AAGCAAAUCAGAAAGGGAAGGAUAACGUGCUUUAGCGCGGCCCGAAGGGUGAGGAACGAAGUGACGAAUAAUCCUUCCCCCACCACCA
rnacentral:sRNA from 1 species